GCAUCCAUGGUUGAAUGGUUAAAGUGCUCAAUUCAUAAUUGGUAAAUUUGCGGGUUUAAUUCCUGUUGGAUGCA
rfam:Triticum aestivum genome assembly, contig: Triticum_aestivum_CS42_TGACv1_scaffold_129512_2BL